CGGCUUGGUAAACAGGUCCAGUUACCUUAUCCUCAUAGCGACACUAUGUCUCAGCGUCCUUUUGACCUUGUUCACUCCGAUGUCUGGGGUCCAGCUCCAUUUGCCUCGAAAGGAGGUCAUCGCUACUAUAUUAUUUUUAUAGAUGAUUUCUCUCGAUACACCUGGAUAUAUUUUAUGUCUUCUCGUAGUGAGGUGUUAUCUAUCUAUAAGCGUUUUGCUGCCAUGGUUCACACUCAGUUCUCUACUCCUAUUCGUGUUUUCCGUGCUGACUCUGCUGGAGAGUAUAUCUCCAAGAUGUUGCGUGGAGUCCUUGCUUAG
rnacentral:rRNA from 1 species